rnacentral:rRNA from 1 species
UACGUAGGGUCCAAGCGUUAUCCGGAAUUACUGGGCGUAAAGAGUUGCGUAGGUGGCAUGUAAAGCGAAUAGUGAAAGCGUGUGGCUCAACCAUACAUCCACUAUUUGAACUCACAAGCUAGAAGAUGAGAGAGGUAGAUGGAAUUCCUGAUGUAGGGGUAAUAUCCGUAGAUAUCAGGAGGAACACCGAUGGCGUAGGCAGUCUACUGGCUCAUUCUUGACACUAAGGCACGAAAGCGUGGGGAGCAAACAGG